GCACUGGUGGUUCAGUGGUAGAAUUCUCGCUUGCCACGCUGGAGGCCCGGGUUCGAUUCCCGGCCAGUGCA
rfam:Nematostella vectensis strain CH2 x CH6 NEMVEscaffold_2347_Cont41458, whole genome shotgun sequence.